UACGUAGGGGGCAAGCGUUGUCCGGAAUCAUUGGGCGUAAAGCGCGUGUAGGCGGUUCGAUAAGUCUGCUGUGAAAGUCCAGGGCUCAACCCUGGGAUGCCGGUGGAUACUGUCGGGCUAGAGUACGGAAGAGGCGAGUGGAAUUCCCGGUGUAGCGGUGAAAUGCGCAGAUAUCGGGGAGGAACACCAAUUGCGAAGGCAGCUCGCUGGGACGUCACUGACGCUGAGACGCGAAAGCGUGGGGAGCAAACAGG
rnacentral:rRNA from 1 species